AUUCAGGGCAAUUGCAAUUAUUUCCCUUGAACGAGAAUUCCCAGUAAGCGCGAGUCAUUAGCUCGCGUUGAUUACGUCCCUGCCCUUUGUACACACCGCCCGUCGCUACUACCGAUUGAAUGGUUUAGUGAGGUCCUCCGAUUGGACCCGGUCCGGGCGGCGACGUCCGAGCCGGCGUCCGAGAAGACGAUCUAACUUGAUCAUUUAGAGGAAGUAAAAGUCGUAACAAGGUUUCCGUAGGUGAACCUGCGGAAGGAUCAUUA
rfam:Ciona savignyi cont_53664, whole genome shotgun sequence.